UACGUAGGUGGCGAGCGUUGUCCGGAAUUACUGGGUGUAAAGCGCGCGUAGGCGGUAGGCCAAGUCUGCUGUGAAAUCGCCCGGCUCAACUGGGCGCGGUCGGUGGAAACUGGUCAACUGAAGGACGGUAGAGGCGAGUGGAAUUCCCGGUGUAGUGGUGAAAUGCGUAGAGAUCGGGAGGAACACCUGUGGCGAAGGCGGCCCCCUGGGCCGGCCCUGACACUGAGACGCGAAGGCGUGGGGAGCGAACGGG
rnacentral:rRNA from 1 species